CCUACGGGUGGCAGCAGUGGGGGAUAUUGCACAAUGGGGGGAACCCUGAUGCAGCGACGCCGCGUGAGUGAAGAAGUAAUUCGUUAUGUAAAGCUCUAUCAGCAGGGAAGAAAAUGACGGUACCUGAGUAAGAAGCCCCGGCUAACUACGUGCCAGCAGCCGCGGUAAUACGUAGGGGGCAAGCGUUAUCCGGAUUUACUGGGUGUAAAGGGAGCGUAGACGGCAGUGCAAGUCUGGAGUGAAAGGCGGGGGCUCAACCCCCGGACUGCUCUGGAAACUGUACGGCUGGAGUGCGGGAGGGGCAGGCAGAAUUCCUGGUGUAGUGGUGAAGUGCGUAGAUAUCAGGAGGAACACCGGCGGCGAAGGCGGCCUGCUGGACCGCGACUGACGUUGAGGCUCGAAAGCGUGGGGAGCGAACAGGAUUAGAUACCCUUGUAGUC
rnacentral:rRNA from 1 species